GAUGAAGAACGCCGCGAAAGUGCGAAACGUAAUGUGAAUUGCAGAAUUCAGUGAAUCAUCGAAUCUUUGAACGCACAUUGCGCCCCUUGGUAUUCCAUGGGGCAUGCCUGUUCGAGCGUCAUCUACACCCUCAAGCUCUGCUUGGUGUUGGGCGUCUGUCCCGCCUCUGCGCGCGGACUCGCCCCAAAUUCAUUGGCAGCGGUCCUUGCCUCCUCUCGCGCAGCACAUUGCGCUUCUCGAGGUGCGCGGCCCGCGUCCACGAAGCAACAUUACCGUCUUUGACCUCGGAUCAGGUAGGGAUACCCGCUGAACUUAAGCAUAUCAAUAAGCGGAGGA
rnacentral:misc_RNA from 1 species